rnacentral:misc_RNA from 1 species
ACACCUCAACCCUCAGGGCUUGCCAUGAUGGGCUUGGACUUUGGGGGUCUUGUUGGCCUGUGAGCCAGCUCCCCUUAAAUGAAUUAGCUUGCCAGUGUUUGGUGGCGUCACAGGUGUGAUAACUAUCUACGCUUGUGGUUUCCCACCAGAUAACCUUCAGCGAUGGAGGUUCGCUGGAGCUCAUAAAUGUCUCUCCCCAGUGAGGACAGAUUUUGACC